GGAGGUGACCAGUCUUGAACCUAUUGAGGGUGGACCACUCCUUCCUGGGGAGGUUGACACCAGGAGGCUAUUGUGUAGGGUAGUGAUGAGGUGCUUAUUUGUCCGGUCCAGUGACUAUCAUUUCUGUGUCCAGGAGACAUCCUGCAGAGAGGAGGAUCGGCAGUAGAUGGAGCCAUUGCUGCGUUACUGUGCACCUCUGUCAUCAACCCACAGAGGAUGGGCAUUGGCGGGGGUCCAUAUUCACAGUGAUGGACAGCGGUGGCACGGUCCGUCCCUCAGGAGUUUAAUCCUGAUCUACUGAGUGGAUGCCCACAGAUCUUUCAACUGAUGACAGGUAUAUCCCUUUUAUACAUAUCAGUGGAUAUCAGCCAGCUUCUUCUAUACCACCAUCAAGCUGGCCAGAGAGGGUUUCCAUGUACCCCAGGUCCUGAGCCACUUCAUCCCACUGAUCAACAGGGAUGAGACCCUACCAUUAUGGUGCGUAUGAAACUGGACAAACAUAAACUAAGCUACAAUCAGUAAAUCAUAAGAAUCUCAGGGAUAUGGAGAUAGAUGGAUGCUGUGACCGAAGACCGUUGUGGAUAGAAAGAGAGAGAAGUCUGCUGUCCUGAGCUGCUUUAUCCCACUGAUCAACAGGGAUUAGACCCACCCUACCAUUAUGGACCUGAGCCCUAGGACCAUGCCCCAGGACUACCUGACAUGAUGACUCCUUGCUGUCCCCAGUCCACCUGGCUAUGCUGCUGCUCCAGUUUCAUCUGACCUGAGCCCUAGGACCAUGCCCCAGGACUACCUGACAUGACUCCUUGCUGUCCCCAGUCCACCUGGCCAUGCUGCUGCUCCAGUUUCAACUGUUCUGCCUUACUAUUAUUCGACCAUGCUGGUCAUUUAUGAACAUUUGAACAUCUUGGCCAUGUUCUGUUAUAAUCUCCACCCGGCACAGCCAGAAGAGGACUGGCCACCCCACAUAUGCUCUCUCUAAUUCUCUCUUUCUUUCUCUCUCUCUGAGGACCUGAGCCCAAGGACCGUGCCCCAGGACGACCUGACAUGAUGACUCCUUGCUGUCCCCAGUCCACCUGACUGUGCUGCUGCUCCAGUUUCAACUGUUCUGCCUUGUUAUUAUUCGACCAUGCUGGUCAUUUAUGAACAUUUGAACAUCUUGGCCAUGUUCUGUUAUAAUCUCCACCCGGCACAGCCAGAAGAGGACUGGCCACCCCACAUAGCCUGGUUCCUCUCUAGGUUUCUUCCUAGGUUUUGGCCUUUCUAGGGAGUUUUUCCUAGCCACCGUGCUUCUACACCUGCAUUGCUUGCUGUUUGGGGUUUUAGGCUGGGUUUCUGUACAGCACUUUGAGAUAUCAGCUGAUGUACGAAGGGCUAUAUAAAUACAUUUGAUUUGAUUUGCUCCUCCCACUGAUUUGGUAAACAGCUGAGAGAUGGGACUGGAGAAAUAGUACCACUCUGAAAUUCAUGGCUAUGGAUAUAAGGACUGACCAUUCAUGAUAUCAACAUUAUAGUUUGAACCAUGUUUUGGGGCUAUACAGUGUUUACGUUGUU